rnacentral:rRNA from 1 species
AUUGAACGCUGGCGGCAUGCCUUACACAUGCCAGUCGAACGGCAGCACGGGUGCUUGCCCCUGGUGGCGAGUGGCGAACGGGUGUGUAAUACAUCUGAACAUGUCCUGUAGUGGGGGAUAGCCCGUCGAAAGCCGGAUUAAUACCGCCUACGAACUACGUAUGCAAGCGGGGGCACUUCGGACCUCGCGCCUUACGGUUAGCCGAUGGCUGAUUAGCUAGUUGGUGGGGUAAAGGCCUACCAAGGCGACGAUCAGUAGCUGGUCUGAGAGGACGACCAGCCACACUGGAACUGAGACACGGCCCAGACUCCUACGGGAGGCAGCAGUGGGGAAUUUUGGACAAUGGGCGAAAGCCUGAUCCAGCAAUGCCGCGUGUGUGAAGAAGGCCUUCGGGUUGUAAAGCACUUUUGUCCGGAAAGAAAACCUUGGCCCUAAUACGGUCGGGGGAUGACGGUACCGGAAGAAUAAGCACCGGCUAACUACGUG